UACGUAGGGUGCAAGCGUUAUCCGGAAUUAUUGGGCGUAAAGAGCUCGUAGGCGGUUUGUCACGUCUGCUGUGAAAACUGGAGGCUCAACCUCCAGCCUGCAGUGGGUACGGGCAGACUAGAGUGCGGUAGGGGAGAUUGGAAUUCCUGGUGUAGCGGUGGAAUGCUCAGAUAUCAGGAGGAACACCGAUGGCGAAGGCAGAUCUCUGGGCCGUAACUGACGCUGAGGAGCGAAAGCAUGGGGAGCGAACAGG
rnacentral:rRNA from 1 species